GGCAGAGAGAGCCCGGUUCCCGUGUCCCGCCGGUCCGAACCGGCCGUGGACAUGAGGAAAGUCCCCCCACCGUCCGAACGGGUGACCGGGCGCAAGCCCGGAGUCGGAGACGACUGGCUCUGGAACAGAAACGAGACCCCUCGGUCCGACCGAUGAGACGCGUCCGGCGGAGUCCUCCGCCGACGGCGCGAGCGGCUACCGCCGCCCGCGCGCGAACCGACCCGCAAGGGAAGGGAGUUGACCCGUCGAGGGUAGCGAGACGGCGACAGCCGUCUCGGAGCGACGAACGGGCGCGACGCGCCCGCGAGUCGUGGAGGCGCGGUGCCUCCUCCGCGCGGCCGCACCGCGGCCGCGCGAACGACGGCCGAGAACGGGUGGAACGGCGAAACCUCACCGGUGCAAGUCCGCGCCGCUAAGGUAGUUCGGACAGCGCGUUCGGGUUCGCCCGGCGCGCCCCCGAGAGGGGAGGACGCGGACGCUCAGCCGAAUGCCGGGUCGAAACAGAAGGGGGCUUACUCCUCUCAGCC
rnacentral:RNase_P_RNA from 2 species